CAAAUGGCAGUGCUAGAGAGAGAGAGAGAGAGGAAGUGGAAAGUUUCUUUCUACAUCAGCCAAAGAUAAACACAACAGACACAACCAGCAAGCUAUUGCUUGUAACAGAUAAACUGUUGUGGAAGCAGGGACCACAUUUUCUGGAAAUGUCUACAGAACAAGCAUCAUUAUAAGUUAUUGGCUCUAAAUGAACUCCAAGCGAAAAGAGAAAACAAAGUGAGAAAAAGACUGCCCAUAACUAAUUCAGAUACCCGAUCAACAUUGGAAUUCAUUUUGAAAGGUGGUAACCAUUGAAAGAUCUGAAAGGGUGGAAAAGUGACACCAAAAUGGCCACCAUUCUCAUGGACAGGGAGAUACUGCUGGAGUCUGAUUUCGAGGAACCUGGCUGAGGCUGUAAGUGGUGUGGAAUUGCAAAACUUAAUGCUAAGAGACACUGGGUGUCACGUCUACACUCGUUCCCCAAUCUCUGGUGCUUGACGUCGCCGGUUUACUAACCACCGGUCCUGGCAACCCAUUAUUAUGCACACCUGGCAACCCUCAUUAUGCACACCUGCACCUCAUCAUGAGGCACACCUGGACUCCAUCAAUACCCAGAAUACCCCCCCAUUAUCUAGCACUCCCGAGCUUCAUUCUUCAGACACCCUGUGUCUACGUUACAAAAUACUACUUCGAAAAUAUGGAAGCAGCAGAAGAUAGAGAAAUAACAGACGGUCGGCGAACAGGGACACCUACUCCACCAACACCAACAUCAUCAGCUGGCGCAACUGCGUGCGACUAUGGAUGAGGUCCUCCAUGUCCUCAACACCACCCGAGAGGAGUCACUUUCAAAUAGCGGAAGGUCCUCUACCAUGAGUCGUUCCAGCGAGCCAGUCCCCCAGCCUACUGUCAUGACAAUAACCAGUCCUUCUCUCACCCACAGAAAAGGGGAGGAGGGAACUGGGCCGGUUUGACAGUUCACACUCUGUUGUAAAUUACAGGCGAAGGGGGGCUCUUUCUCCCCUUUAGUAUCAACCAAAGGAAUGUCUUUGUUUUACAGACAGUUUUCCCUCUUAAACUCAGUUUUUCACAAUUCCUGACAUGUAAUCCUAGUAAGAAUUCCCUGUCUCAGGUUAGUUAGGAUCACUACUUUAUUUUAAGAAAGUGAAAUAUCAGAAUAAUAGUAGAGAGGUUGAUUUAUUUCAGCAUUUAUUUCUUUCAUCACAUUCCCAGUGGGUCAGAAGUUUACAUACACUCAAAUAGCAUUUGGUAGCAUUGGCUUUAUAUUGUUUAACUUGGGUCAAAUGUUUCGGGUAGCCUUCCACAAGCUUCCCACAAUAAGUUGGGUGAAUUUUGGACCGUUCCACCUGACAGAGUUGGUGUAACUGAGUCAGGUUUGUAGGCCUCUUUGCUCACACAUGCUUUUUCAGUUCUGCCCACAAAUUUUCCAUAGGAUUGAGGUUAAGGCUUUGCGAUGGCCACUCCAAUACCAUGACUUUGUUGUCCUUAAGCCAUUUUGCCACAACUUUGGAAGUAUGCUUGGGUGUCAUUGUCCAUUUGGAAGACCUAUUUGGGACCAAGCUUUAACUUCCUGACUGAUGUCUUGAGAUGUUGCUUCAAAAUUUCCCCAUCAUUUUCCUCCCUCAUGUUGCCAUCUAUUCUGUGAAGUGCACCAGUCCCUCCUGCAGCAAAGCACCCCACAAUAUGAUGCUGCCACCCCCGUGCUUCACGGUUGGGAUGGUGUUCUUCUGCUUGCAAGCCUCCCCUUUUUUCCUCCACACACAAUGAUGGUCAUUAUGGCCAAACAGUUCUAUUUUUAUUUCAUCAGACCAGAGGACAUUUCUCCAAAAAGUACAAUCUCUGUCCCCAUGUUCAGUUGCAAACUGGUCUGGCUUUUUUAUGGCGGUUUUGGAGCAGUGGCUUCUUCCUUGCUGAGCGGCCUUUCAGGUUAUGUCGAUAUAGGACUCGUUUACCUGUGGAUAUAGAUACUUUUGUACCUGUUUCCUCCAGCAUCUUCAUAAGGUCAUUUGCUGUUGCUCUGGGAUUGAUUUGCACUUUUCGCACCAAAGUACGUUCAUCUCUAGGAGACAGAACGCGUCUCCUUCCUGAGCGGUAUGACAGCUGCGUGGUCCCAUGGUGUUUAUACUUGCAUACUAUUGUUUGUACAGAUGAGCGUGGUACCUUCAGGCAUUUGGAAAUUGCUCCCAAGGAUGAACCAGACUUGUGGAGGUCUACAAUUUGUUUCUGAGGUCUUGGCUGAUUUCUUUUGAUUUUCCCAUGAUGUCAAGCAAAGAGGCACUGAGUUUGAAGCCAGGACUUGAAAUACAUCCACAGGUUCACCUCCAAUUGACUCAAAUGAUGUCAAUUAGCCUAUCAGAAGCUUCUAAAGCCCUGACAUCAUUUUCUGCAAUUUUCCGAUCUGUUUAAAGACACAGUCAACUCAGUGUAUGUACAAUUCUGACCCACUGGAAUUGUGAUACAGUGAAUUAAAAUUGAAAUAAUCUGUCUGCAAACAAUUGUUGGAAAAAUUACUUGUGUCAUGCACAAAGUAGAUUUCGUAACGGGCUUGCCAAAACUAUAGUUUGUUAACAAGAAAUGUGUGGAGUGGUUGAAAAACAAGUUUUUUUGACGCCAACCUAAGUGUAUGUCAAUUUCUGCUAAAUUAUCAUGUUGAUGGCGCAGUCAUAUAGCCUCGGCACCUAAAGCUCAGUGACUCACUCAUUCAUGUCUUUGGUUCAAAAUGAAUAAGUACCAACAUUCUUUCUGAUAGUCUUUAAUAAAGAAAUGUUUUGGUUAUCCUGCCCUGGACUCUAUGUAUUAUAAUUGCCGAUUAUGUUGUGCAUGCAUUUAUGAACUUGCAAUCUCACCUUUGCUAGAGUAGCUAUCAGGAAGGUUAGCCGACACACAUACACACACACACACACACACACACACACACACACACACACACACACACACACACACACACACACACACACACACACACACACACACACAGAGUAGUCUAAGGGAGGGGUAAAGGUUUGGUGAGUUUAGCAUAUAAGGUGUGGGAGAAGUUGCGAAUGGACAUUUCCCCACUGAAAGUCUAUGGCCAUUGGAAUAAUAUGAUUUAUGUAUUUAUUGCUAUGGUUUAAUAAACAAUUGAAAAAGUAAAAUAUUUUGUCAGGUAAUCUAGCCUAAAGCAGUCUGAAAUGUUACUGUCACGCCCUGACCUUAGAGAGACGUUUAUUUUCCUCUAGUUUGGUUAGGUCAGGCUGUGAUGUGGGGUGGGCAAUCUAGUUUGUAUAUUUCUUUGUGUUGAGCCGAGUAUGGUUCCUAAUCAGAGGCAGCUGUCUAUCGUUGUCUCUGAUUAGGAAUCAUACUUAGGCAGCCUUUUCCCACCUGUGUUUGUGGGUAGUUGUUUUCUGUUUUGUGUUUCUGUACCUGACAGAACUGUGCGCUUUCAUUUUCCUUUGUUAUUUUUGUUCGAGUGUUUGUUUGAUUUAAAUAAAUAAUCAUGAAGACGUACCACGCUGCAUCUUGGUCACCUCUCUACGAUGAUUGUUACAGUUACUUUGGUGUCUCUAGCCCAAAGGUUUUAGAGCAGGGGUGAGCAGAAGAAAAGUAUUAUGUCGAGUCUGUUACAAGCACACUAAAACCCUGUUUAGUUCAGUGCAGUGGCGGUCGAUGUCGUUUUAAGAUGAGAG
rnacentral:lncRNA from 1 species